GAUGAACGCUAGCGGGAGGCCUAACACAUGCAAGCCGAGCGGUAUUGUUUCUUCGGAAAUGAGAGAGCGGCGUACGGGUGCGGAACACGUGUGCAACCUGCCUUUAUCUGGGGGAUAGCCUUUCGAAAGGAAGAUUAAUACUCCAUAAUAUAUUGAACGGCAUCGUUUAAUAUUGAAAGCUCCGGCGGAUAGAGAUGGGCACGCGCAAGAUUAGCUAGUUGGUGAGGUAACGGCUCACCAAGGCAAUGAUCUUUAGGGGCCUGAGAGGUGAUCCCCACACUGGGUACUGAGACACGGACCAGACUCCUACGGGAGGCAGCAGUGAGGAAUAUUGGUCAAUGGGUGCAAGCCUGAACCAGCCAUCCCGCGUGAAGGCGACUGCCCUAU
rnacentral:rRNA from 1 species